AUUGAACGCUGGCGGCAGGCCUAACACAUGCAAGUCGAACGAGUGGCGGACGGGUGAGUAAUGUCUGGGAAACUGCCUGAUGGAGGGGGAUAACUACUGGAAACGGUAGCUAAUACCGCAUACCAUCAGAUGUGCCCACAUGGGAUUAGCUUGGGGGGGGGGUAAAGGCUCACCUAGGCGACGAUCCCUAUCUGGUCUGAGAGGAUGACCAGCCACAUGGGGACUGAGACACGGUCCAGACCCCUACGGGAGGCAGCAGUGGGGAAUAUUCGACAAUGGGCGCAAGCCUGAUGCAGCCAUGCCGCGUGAAUGAAGAAGGCCUUCGGGUUGUAAAGUACUUUCAGCGGGGAAGCGGUACCCGAAGAAGAAGCACCGGCUAACUCCGUGCCAGCAGCCGCGGUAAUAC
rnacentral:rRNA from 1 species